rnacentral:rRNA from 1 species
GAUGAACCACUUCGGUGGGGAUUAGUGGCGAACGGGUGAGUAACACGUGGGCAAUCUGCCCUUCACUCUGGGACAAGCCCUGGAAACGGGGUCUAAUACCGGAUAACACUCUUACGGGCAUCUGUGAGGGUUAAAAGCUCCGGCGGUGAAGGAUGAGCCCGCGGCCUAUCAGCUUGUUGGUGAGGUAAUGGCUCACCAAGGCGACGACGGGUAGCCGGCCUGAGAGGGCGACCGGCCACACUGGGACUGAGACACGGCCCAGACUCCUACGGGAGGCAGCAGUGGGGAAUAUUGCACAAUGGGCGAAAGCCUGAUGCAUCGACGCCGCGUGAGGGAUGACGGCCUUCGGGUUGUAAACCUCUUUCAGCAGGAAAGAAGCGAAAGUGACGGUACCUGCAGAAGAAGCGCCGGCUAACUACGUGCCAGCAGCCGCGGUAAUACGUAGGGCGCAAGCGUUGUCCGGAAUUAUUGGGCGUAAAGAGCUCGUAGGCGGCUUGUCACGUCGAUUGUGAAAGCCCGAGGCUUAACCUCGGGUCUGCAGUCGAUACGGGCUAGCUAGAGUGUGGUAGGGGAGAUCGGAAUUCCUGGUGUAGCGGUGAAAUGCGCAGAUAUCAGGAGGAACACCGGUGGCGAAGGCGGAUCUCUGGGCCAUUACUGACGCUGAGGAGCGAAAGCG